rnacentral:tRNA from 1 species
GGGGUUGUGGCUCAGUGGUAGAGUGCUUGCCUAGCACAUGCAAGGCCCUGGGUUUGAUUCUCAGCACCACA